GUCCUCAUUGGACGGUAGUAUGAGGUCUGGCCUGCCCACUGAAAUUAUUUAAAGGGCCGCGGUAUACUAACCGUGCGAAGGUAGCAUAGUCAAUAGUCUUUUAAUUGGAGGCUUGAAUGAAUGGUCGGACAUGGGGAAAGCUGUCUUGAUUAAGGUGUAUGAAUUUAACUUUUGUGUGAAAAGGCAUUAAUGUUUUAAAGGGACGAUAAGACCCUAUAAAACUUGACAUUUGAAGUUUAGUUUUUAAGAAUUAAGUGUUAAUUUAAAAUAUAAAUAGUUUGUUGUGCUGGGGCGGCUGGAAUAUAAAUCUGUAACUGUUCUUUAUAUUAAAUAAUGAUUAUUAGAUUUUGACCCUGAACUUUGGGUUAUAAGAUAAAGUUACUUUAGGGAUAACAGCGUUAUUUCUCUUGAGAGUUCAUAUCGACAGGGAUAUUUGCGACCUCGAUGUUGAAUUAAAGUUUUUUUCGGGAGUAGAGAUUCGAAGAAUAGGUCUGUUCGACCUUUAAAACUUUACAUGAUUUGAGUUCAAACCGGUGUGAG
rnacentral:rRNA from 1 species